rnacentral:rRNA from 1 species
GAGUUUGAUCAUGGCUCAGGAUGAACGCUAGCGGCAGGCCUAAUACAUGCAAGUCGAACGGGAUCCAGAGGAGAGCUUGCUUGAAUCUGGUGAGAGUGGCGCACGGGUGCGUAACGCGUGAGCAACCUACCCAUGUCUGGGGGAUAGCCCCUCGAAAGAGGGAUUAAUACCGCAUAACAUCAUUUGGUUUCAUGACUGAAUGAUCAAACUAUUUGGGACAUGGAUGGGCUCGCGUGACAUUAGCUAGUUGGUAAGGUAACGGCUUACCAAGGCUACGAUGUCUAGGGGCUCUGAGAGGAGAAUCCCCCACACUGGUACUGAGACACGGACCAGACUCCUACGGGAGGCAGCAGUAAGGAAUAUUGGUCAAUGGAGGGAACUCUGAACCAGCCAUGCCGCGUGCAGGAAGACGGCCCUAUGGGUUGUAAACUGCUUUUAUCAGGGAAUAAACCUAUCUACGUGUAGAUAGCUGAAUGUACCUGAGGAAUAAGGAUCGGCUAACUCCGUGCCAGCAGCCGCGGUAAU